CCUACGGGCGGCAGCAGUGGGGAAUUUUGGACAAUGGGGGCAACCCUGAUCCAGCCAUGCCGCGUGAGUGAAGAAGGCCUUCGGGUUGUAAAGCUCUUUCGGCCGGGAAGAAAUCGCUCAAGCUAAUACCUUGGGUGGAUGACGGUACCGGAAGAAGAAGCACCGGCUAACUACGUGCCAGCAGCCGCGGUAAUACGUAGGGUGCGAGCGUGCAUCGGAAUUCCGGGGCGGAAGCCGUACGACAGCGGUGAAAGCCCCGGGCUUAACCUGGGAACUGCGUUUGUGACUGUGGUGCUCGAGUGCGGCAGAGGGGGGUGGAAUUCCACGUGUAGCAGUGAAAUGCGUAGAGAUGUGGAGGAACACCGAUGGCGAAGGCAGCCCCCUGGGUCGACACUGACGCUCAUGCACGAAAGCGUGGGGAGCAAACAGGAUUAGAUACCCUGGUAGUC
rnacentral:rRNA from 1 species